AUUGAACGCUGGCGGCAUGCCUUACACAUGCAAGUCGAACGGUAACAGGUCUUCGGAUGCUGACGAGUGGCGAACGGGUGAGUAAUACAUCGGAACGUGCCUAGUAGUGGGGGAUAACUACUCGAAAGAGUGGCUAAUACCGCAUUAGAUCUACGGAUGAAAGCAGGGGAGCGCAAGACCUUGUGCUACUAGAGCGGCCGAUGGCAGAUUAGGUAGUUGGUGGGAUAAAAGCUUACCAAACCGACGAUCUGUAGCUGGUCUGAGAGGACGAUCAGCCACACUGGGACUGAGAAACGGCCCAGACUCCUACGGGAGGCAGCAGUGGGGAAUUUUGGACAAUGGGCGCAAGCCUGAUCCAGCAAUGCCGCGUGCAGGAUGAAGGCCUUCGGGUUGUAAACUGCUUUUGUACGGAACGAAAAGCCCCGGGUUAAUACCCUGGGGUCAUGACGGUACCGUAAGAAUAAGCACCGGCUAACUACGUGCCAGCCGCCGCGGUAA
rnacentral:rRNA from 1 species